CCAGCCGCGUAGUGAUGAAGGCCCUAGGGUUGUAAAGCUUUUUUGUGCGGGAAGAUAAUGACGGUACCGCAAGAAUAAGCCCCGGCUAACUUCGUGCCAGCAGCCGCGGUAAU
rnacentral:rRNA from 1 species